ensembl:lncRNA
CCCUCACGGCUCCCGCUAGCGCCGGCCCUGUCGAGCCCCGCGGCAGAGCGGGCUGUGCGAACCCUCACGGCUCCCGCUAGCGCCGGCCCUGUCGAGCCCCGCGGCAGAGCGGGCUGUGCGAACCCUCACGGCUCUCGCUAGCGCCGGCCCGUGCCAUGACCCGCAGCCCGCCACGUCCUGGCCAAGGCUACUGCCCGCGCACCUUCCGGUGACAGAGCUAAAGACAAGACUUCGCUCGCAGGCUCGGGUCAGCCUCGGCACCCGCUCGGUGGGCAGCACCCGCUCGGUGGGCAGCACCCGCUCGGUGGGCAGCGCCCGCGUCCCGCUUCCCCCGUCCUCACUGGCGGCAUGAAACAAACCGCCGGUCCAGCCGGGAUCUAGGAAGGCAGAGGAUAUACUUCAGCAUUGAUUCUUGAAGCUGAAGGCGUGAAUGAUUUUCGGAGUGAUCAACCUAAAUGCAACAAGGCGACCGCAGUACACAAAUGCCGUAAAUAAAACUGCUGUGCCCAGCACCAGGAACUUUCCGGCAAAAAUGAAGAAGGAAGCGGGCUUCGCCAUUGUGCAACUCAGGGACCCCCACAGGUGCAGGACGCUGCCUGGCUCGAAUCCCGUUACCGUGCUCGUCGCCGGUGCCCCACGGAUCCUCCCCGAGUUAGCACCUGAGCACAGGCACGCAGACGAGGAGGGCAAUCUCUUCCCACUUGCCUAGCUCCGCUCCCCUGUCGCCUUAGUGUUUGAAUCGCUGUCAAGCGACAGUAGNNNNNNNNNNNNNNNNNNNNGGGGGGGGGGGGAACGGGACGGGGGGACGACACCUCUCGCCUACCCCUUCCAUAUUUAACCAUUACCUAAAUCCGAAGGGAAAUGAGCAAACCUCUAGGCUUGGGUCUUAAGGUAUUUUCAGCGCCGUUGGGCGUAUUUAUCCCAGAAGAGUUUUCCACAACAAGUUAUUUCUAGUCUAGGAGAGGUCUCCGUCGCCCAGGGCCCGGCCUUAGCCCCGAUUACGACGCCACGCACGGCCCGAUGGUGGCGGGAGGUGUGUUCCCCCCGCCGCCGGGCCAAAGCGGGGGAUGCGGAGCGGAGCGGGCUCGGCAGGGCGAGCGCCGGCUGCCCCAGCCCCUGCCCUCUGCCCGCCCGAGUCAAUCUGUGUUUUGAAUCUGUGACUUGUUCUCGUUGCGGAAGUCAAAGGGGAUCCAAGAAUAGUUCAGAUAGAUGUGUGUAAUUUCUAGAGCAGAACCCCGAGAGAAACGAAACGCCCGAUUCCAGAAUGACGCUUCGAUGUCCCUUCAGCGAGACCUGUGAGGUGGAAUGCGGUAAGACGUUUUCAUUUAAGGAAAACUGAGAGAGAAACAGAGGCGGGGAACACUACUGAUUUGUGAGGCUUUGGCGCUUUUUUUUUCUUUUUCUUUUUCUUUUUUUCUUUUUUUUUUUUUUUUUUUUUUUUUUUUUUUUUUUUUUUUUUUUUUUUUUCUUUUGCAGAAGCUCCUAACUAACGCUCAGGAAGUGGAAUUUGUGGUUUAGGGGGCCGAGCUCUGAAGGAGUUGAGAGAGACAGAAAAGUUAAAAAAAAAAAAAAAGCCAACUCAAGCACCAUUGCUCCUUAAAGGGAGGCUAAAUUUAAAGUCACACAAACUAGCAGGCUGCCGCGCAUACCCCGUCCGCAUCCCAGCUUCUUUCGGCCCUAUAAAUGGGUAAGCAUUCUCGCUUCUCUCG